rnacentral:rRNA from 1 species
UACGAAGGGGGGCUAGCGUUGCUCGGAAUUACUGGGCGUAAAGCGCACGUAGGCGGUCUUUUUAAGUCGGGGGGUGAAAUCCUGGAGCUCAACUCCAGAACUGCCUUCGAUACUGGAAGACUCGAGUCCGGGAGAGGUGAGUGGAACUGCGAGUGUAGAGGUGAAAUUCGUAGAUAUUCGCAAGAACACCAGUGGCGAAGGCGGCUCACUGGCCCGAUACUGACGCUGAGGCACGAAAGCGUGGGGAGCAAACAGGG